rnacentral:tRNA from 3 species
GUGCUCGUAGCUCAACUGGAUAGAGCGUCGGCCUCCGAAGCCGAAGGUUGCAGGUUCGACUCCCGCCGAGCACG